rnacentral:rRNA from 1 species
CGUGCUUAACACAUGCAAGUCGAACGAUGAUCCUCAGCUUGCUGGGGGGAUUAGUGGCGAACGGGUGAGUAACACGUGAGUAACCUGCCCUUGACUCUGGGAUAAGCCUGGGAAACUGGGUCUAAUACCGGAUAUGACUCCUCAUCGCAUGGUGGGGGGUGGAAAGCUUUUGUGGUUUUGGAUGGACUCGCGGCCUAUCAGCUUGUUGGUGGGGUAAUGGCCUACCAAGGCGACGACGGGUAGCCGGCCUGAGAGGGUGACCGGCCACACUGGGACUGAGACACGGCCCAGACUCCUACGGGAGGCAGCAGUGGGGAAUAUUGCACAAUGGGCGCAAGCCUGAUGCAGCGACGCCGCGUGAGGGAUGACGGCCUUCGGGUUGUAAACCUCUUUCAGUAGGGAAGAAGCGAAAGUGACGGUACCUGCAGAAGAAGCGCCGGCUAACUACGUGCCAGCAGCCGCGGUAAUACGUAGGGCGCAAGCGUUAUCCGGAAUUAUUGGGCGUAAAGAGCUCGUAGGCGGUUUGUCGCGUCUGCCGUGAAAGUCCGGGGCUCAACUCCGGAUCUGCGGUGGGUACGGGCAGACUAGAGUGAUGUAGGGGAGACUGGAAUUCCUGGUGUAGCGGUGAAAUGCGCAGAUAUCAGGAGGAACACCGAUGGCGAAGGCAGGUCUCUGGGCAUUAACUGACGCUGAGGAGCGAAAGCAUGGGGAGCGAACAGGAUUAGAUACCCUGGUAGUCCAUGCCGUAAACGUUGGGCACUAGGUGUG